AGAAGGAAAAGAAAAAGAAAAAAAAAUUUCCUAUCUUGCUAACUUUCAAUGCUUCAUUUGUUUGUAAUGAUAGUUGUUGAUUAAAUAUAGUAAUUUCUUCGUUUAAUCUUCUUCUUGCAGCCUCAUGCAAAUGGUUUUCAAAGUUGCAACUUGCAAGUACUUUUGUUUGCAUCUGUACCGUAUAACUGCCUCUAAAACAUGUAAGAUUAAUAUUGAGGUUUUUGUUAUUUAUAGUUUUGUUAUGUAGCUUGUAGGAGGGCGUUCCUCAUCUAGCUCUGGCAAAGGAAGAUGCCAUGAAGGGUUAAUCAAGUUUGGUUUCAGCCAAGUAAAAGGGAAAGCUAAUCAUCCCAUGGAGGAUUACCAUGUUGCUAAAUUUAUGCAGAUUGAGGGACAUGAAUUAGGACUAUUCCUUCCUCCCUACAGAAACAUUUGUUUUCCAAUAUCCUAAAGGAGGAAUUAGUGAAGACCAUGAAGCUGGCUUUGUUCAUGAAAAGGCAGGUGCUGGAGGGAUUAGUGAAGACCAUGAAGCUGGCUUUGUUCAUGAAUUUUUUUUUUUUUUGGGAGAAAUUGUUCAUGAAAUUUUAGAUAUAAAGAACAUGACUCAUAUCUAUUUUAGUUGGGAUCAUAAUGAAGAUGUAGCUAUUUUGGCUUUCUUGAAACACUAAAAUCACUUAUUUAUAUUGUGAAGCUAAUUUAGCUAAGCUUUAAAGGCUUUUUGUUUUA